rnacentral:misc_RNA from 1 species
CAGAGUUUAUGCUCGUCAGAGCUAACCUCCCACCCGUGUCUAUUACAUCUUGUUGCUUCGGUGGCAUCCGUGCCGCCGAGGACACCAUUUGAACUCUGUUUUAUAAUGCAGUCUGAGAAUAUAACUUAAUUAGUUA